rnacentral:rRNA from 1 species
GUCCGCACCGUAAACGAUGGAUACUAGGUGUCCGGCCUUUCGGGGCUGGGUGCCCAAGGGAAACCGAUAAGUAUCCCACCUGGGGAGUACGUCCGCAAGGAUGAAACUCAAAGGAAUUGACGGGGGCCCGCACAAGCGGUGGAGCAUGUGGUUUAAUUCGAUGAUACGCGAGAAACCUUACCUGGGCUAGAAUGCCCGCGACAACCCCUGAAAGGGGGCCUUCCUUCGGGACGCGGAGCAAGGUGCUGCAUGGCUGUCGU